GACAGAGGGUGCAAACGUUUGUUCGGAAUUACUGGGCGUAAAGCGAGUGUAGGCGGUUUGGAAAGUCGGAUGUGAAAGCCCCGGGCUCAACCCGGGAAGUGCACUCGAUACUCCCAAGCUAGAGUAUCGGAGAGGUUGGCGGAAUUCUCGGUGUAGAGGUGAAAUUCGUAGAUAUCAGGAAGAACACCAGUGGCGAAAGGC
rnacentral:rRNA from 1 species